UACGUAGGGUGCAAGCGUUGUCCGGAAUUAUUGGGCGUAAAGAGCUCGUAGGCGGUCUGUCGCGUCUGGUGUGAAAAUCCAGGGCUUAACCCUGGACCUGCAUCGGGUACGGGCAGACUAGAGUGCGGUAGGGGAGAUCGGAAUUCCCAGUGUAGCGGUGAAAUGCGUAGAUAUUGGGAGGAACACCGGUGGCGAAGGCGGCUACCUGGACCGGUUCUGACGCUGAUGCGCGAAAGCGUGGGGGAGCAAACAGGG
rnacentral:rRNA from 1 species